GACGUAGGGCGCGAGCGUUGUCCGGAUUUAUUGGGCGUAAAGAGCUCGUAGGCGGCUUGUCGCGUCGACUGUGAAAACCCGCGGCUCAACCGCGGGCCUGCAGCCGAUACGGGCAGGCUAGAGUUCGGUAGGGGAGACUGGAAUUCCUGGUGUAGCGGUGAAAUGCGCAGAUAUCAGGAAGAACACCGAUGGCGAAGGCAGCUCUCUGGGACGGUACUGACGCUGAGACGCGAAAGCGUGGGGAGCGAACAGG
rnacentral:rRNA from 1 species